UUACAGAAAUGGUCUUAGGUGACGCCUGU
rnacentral:piRNA from 1 species